UACGUACUCCCUCUGUGCGAAAAAGCUUGUCACAAGUUUGUUUCUCAAAUGGAUGUAUCUAACACUAACUUGAUGUUAGAUACAUCUAUUUGAGGGACAAAUUUUUUGAAUGGAGGGAGUACGUA
rnacentral:pre_miRNA from 1 species